rnacentral:sRNA from 1 species
CUUUCCCCAAUCUGUGAAGUAGCUAAUAAUAUAGAACAGAAUGCUCAAGAGAAUGAAAAUGAAAGCCAAGUUUCAACAGAUGAAAGUGAGAACUCCAGGUCUCCUGGAAAUAAAUCAGAUAACAUCAAGCCCAAAUCUGCUCCAUGGAACUCUUUUCUCCCUCCACCACCCCCCAUGCCAGGGCCAAGACUGGGACCAGGAAAGUGGAAAGUUGGGGACAAAUGUUCUGCCAUUUGGUCAGAAGACGGUUG